CAGAAGAAGAAGAAAAACCAGGAAGUGUGUUCACUGAGGAGUUUUUGAAAGUGUGUGCAGGCCCUUUAGUUGAAGUGCUUGUUUAAAUUGAUUCAGCCACAUUUCUACAAACGCGUUCUCCACAGUGAAGGAAGGUUGUUCCACCAUUGUAGAAACAUCAGAGAGCGACUGAACCUGGGCACAAGAGGCAACUCCUUAUGAUGACCUUGGGGGAGUGUAAACCAUCACAUGAGACCUUCUGACCAUCGAGUCACCAGUUCAGUUCACCUGACACCAAGAAGCAUUAUUAUUCAAGCAAGAUUGCUUCCAGAGUGUGAAUGGACAACAUGUGAACCAAAUGGAGCCAGAUGGAGGAACAAUGGGCCACAAGUAGUGAAGACGAACUCCAAUCAGAGACUGCUUUUCAGAAACCCAGCAGACGUGAAGGAGAGUGGAGCUGAUGGAUUGCAAUCUGGGCCACGCAUGACUUAGCAUCUCGUUAGCUGCUCCCGCUAGCAGAGUCGCUGGAACAGACAGCUGAUGAACCAUUCUGCCAUCCCGUGUCACCAUUCAUGUCCUGCAUCGUCCUGAGAUCCAUGGUGGAAACCUACCCAGUGGUCUCUUUAGCUUUGUUGCUAGCUAAAAACAAGGUCCAGCGCGGAGCCCAACUGGACUAAAGGUAAGCACAGAAUGAACAUUUUGACACAAAUAUACCGGUUCUGAGAAAAUCAGCUAGUGAAAAGUUCACCAGAGUCCGAACGUUCCCUCUGUCAAAUGUAAAGUAUCACCUCCAAACUGGGCUAAUUCACUGCCUCAAGAUACCGACACCUGCUGGAAUCAGUCAAUGACUGACAUAACAUGUAAUCACAUAGUCGGUUAAAGUCCGUUUUGAAACAUUUAUUUUGUAAAGAUUGGCUUACACAAUUGUUCUCUUCGAUAGCUUCAAUGAUUCCUACCUGAAAAUGAAGCCCUUAAGCUGGUGCCUAGCUCUGUUAUCGGGUACAUCCCAAAUCCCUUAUACAGCACUCCUCGACCAGGAGGCAGGAGCAAGGAUACACAAGAGCAUCCUUUGUGGAAGUCUUUUAUGAAUCGAUAGGCCCCUUUAUCAGAAAUCAGCUGUGACUCCUUUGUCACAUGAAACAAAGAACAGCUUAUAGAUGUGAGCUAAAUCAGGGAAACAAGCCUUUGUGAUUAGAUUGUCUGAUUUUGAUUUGAAAGGGUUACUUUAAGACUUGUCUGAUAGCAGUAUACACUCAGUUGGCGGUUUAUUAGGUACAGCGAGUGGAAACCAGUGCAUUGUGUAUGAUCAUGCUGGGAGAUGUAGUUUGUGAUACUGUUGAACUGUACGGCAUCAGACUGACGGGGUUUUUUUUUGUCUGUCCUGUUGAUAUCAACGACAGAAACACCUCUGUAUGAUGCAGUACAGUUCAACAGCAGCACAAGCUACAGCCUCUAAAACCAUCUGAGUUGGAUCAGCACCUCUUUGGAACAGUGUGAACAUCAUCACCUUCACAAAGGAGGGUCUAUUGCUGGACACUGCAUUUUAGCAUUGUGUAUCUAAUAAAGAGCCAACUGAGUGUAUCCUUGCAACAGUACUAGAGAAAACAAUGUGUGCACAGCUGUUAAGUUUUCCAGUGCUUUGCUUGCGGUGUGUACAAAGGGCAGGGACUUAAUCAACGCGAGCUUAUGACCCGCGCUUACUGGGAAUUCCUCGUUCAUGGGAAAUAAUUGCAAUCCCCAAUCCCUAUCACGAGUGGGGUUCAGCGGGUUACCCACGCCUCUCGGCGAAGGGUAGACACACGCUGAUCCACUCAGUGUGGCGCGUGUGCAGCCCUGGACAUCUAAGGGCAUCACAGACCUGUUAUUGCUCAAUCUCGUGUGGCUGAACGCCACUUGUCCCUCUAAGAAGUUGGACGCAGACCGCACGGGGCCGCGUAAUGCUGCUCAGCUAAGCCGAUAAUGUCACAACAGCCGCCUCAGGACGAUAAAAGUCCGGGCAGCAUGCGUUUACUUAAAUCUCCACAGCUUUCGGGUUCCAAAUCUUAUUUCUUUAAAUAGGAGGAUGUUUGUACUGUUUCAUGGAGGAAAACAAAGUCAGUUUUCACAGCCCGAGUCCAAAUCAUCCAAACAAGAUACAAUUAUAACUUUAAAGCAUAUUAAACCACUAGGCAAAAAAUGGAACUGACUUUCUUCAUUUAUGUGCAAUUCAGCUCGAUCCAAACAGCCAGGUUCGUUCUUAAACUCCCCACUGUGAGUCAAUGUGUAUGUGGGUGUCAGCUGAUGUGCCAGAUGAACAAAUAAACAUCUCGUCUAAAGCGACAGUUUGUAGGACGGUAACAUAAGACUGUGUUCAAAACGAUAAUCACUAAGCUGCACACACCUUUUAGGGGCAAUAGUGGUUUGAAAUGAGAACCUGUAUUUGUGUCUGGUGCAUGAUGUUUGUCUGUUUGUUUGACUGUGGUUGUCUUUUCUUAUUUACAGUCAGGGUGGAUGCACACUCUUCAGAUUCUGACAAGCCCGAAAACAGACGUAGAGCAGAGCAACAACAUUUGGUCUCAAUGACAAGGUAGGACGUUUUCUUUUUUGACCAAUGCUGCUGUUCUUCUUUCUCGCGCACGUGGCUCCACCCGGCUCGUGAUGUGGAGGCAGAGCGCAUACUCUGAAACCAUGCCCACCGAGGAGGAAAACAACAACUCACUCCAUUGACUUUGUAUUACAUGAAGGUGCCUCUGACAAUUCUGUCUCAUUACAAAAACUGACAAAUGCCUUCUCAAAGCAGCUGUGUGGUAGGACGCACAGCCGACGGUCAGAGUAGUAGGACGCACAGCCGACGGGCAGAGAAGUUUAAAAACUGCCAAACAAAACCCCCCGAAGCUUUAGGACGUGGGUCAUUAGCAGGAGGAACGGGGAUCCUGAUGCUCGUUAUGUCUACGUGUGCAGUGGCAGAAGCAGCACUCACCAUGGUUACGUAAGUAGUAAUGCUGCAGUGUAAAAAUACUCUGUUACAAGUAAAAGCCCUGCAUUCAUAAUGUUGCUUAAAUACAAGAGUAUUAACGUAAAAGUACGCAUUAUGCAGAAUGGUACGGUUCACAAUGUAAAUUAUAUUAUAUUUACUGAUGCAUUACUGUGUACAUCACUUGAAGUUGGAGCCAGUUGCAAGUACCUUUAAGGUAUAAUUUGAAGUACCUUUACAUACUGCUGGGUAGCUUGUCAAUUUUACAGUGACGAUCAACAAAGCACUACCUUUAAGCGAAAAAUAUUGUAAA